AGUGCUUUCUUUGGCACUCCCUAUACUAAAAUUGGAACAAAACAGAGAUUAGCAUGGUCCCUGCCCAGGGAUGACACACAGAUUCAUGAAGCAGUCCAUAUUUUU
rnacentral:snRNA from 1 species